AGGAUGAACGCUGGCGGCGUGCCUAAAACAUGCAAGUCAUACGGUCUACCUUCGGGUAGACAGUGGCAAACGGGUGAGUAACACGUGGGAACACGCCUUCGAGUGGGGAAUAACGCUGAGAAAUCAGUGCUAAUACCGCAUAUGGUCUAACGACUAAAGCAGUAAUGCGCUCGGAGAGUGGCCCGCGUCCGAUUAGCUAGUUGGUGGGGUAAUGGCCUACCAAGGCGGUGAUCGGUAGCUGGUCUGAGAGGAUGGUCAGCCACACUGGGGCUGCGAACGGCCCAGACUCCUACGGGAGGCAGCAGUUAGGAAUUUUCGGCAAUGGACGAAAGUCUGACCGAGCGACGCCGCGUGGAGGACGAAGCCUUUCGGGGUGUAAACUCCUUUUCUGCGGGAAGAUAAUGACGGUACCGCAGGAAUAAGCACCGGCUAACUACGCGCCAGCAGCCGC
rnacentral:rRNA from 1 species